rnacentral:rRNA from 1 species
UACGGAGGGUGCAAGCGUUAUCCGGAUUCACUGGGUUUAAAGGGUGCGUAGGUGGUAUGGUAAGUCAGUGGUGAAAUCUCCAAGCUUAACUUGGAAACUGCCGUUGAUACUAUCAUUCUUGAAUAUCGUGGAGGUAAGCGGAAUAUGUCAUGUAGCGGUGAAAUGCUUAGAUAUGACAUAGAACACCGAUUGCGAAGGCAGCUUGCUACACGAUCAUUGACACUGAGGCACGAAAGCGUGGGGAGCAAACAGG